rnacentral:misc_RNA from 1 species
GAAAUGCGAUAAGUAAUGUGAAUUGCAGAAUUCAGUGAAUCAUCGAAUCUUUGAACGCACCUUGCGCUCCUUGGUAUUCCUUGGAGCAUGCCUGUUUGAGUAUCAUGAAAUCUUCAAAGUAAAUCUUUUGUUAACUCAAUUGGUUUCUACUUUGGUAUUGGAGGUCUUUGCAGCUUCACACCUGCUCCUCUUUGUUCAUUAGCUGGAUCUCAGUGUUAUGCUUGGUUCCACUCGGCGUGAUAAGUUAUCUAUCGCUGAGGACACUGUAAAAGGUGGCCAAGGUAAAUGCAGAUGAACCGCUUCUAAUAGUUCAUUGACUUGGACAAUACUUUUAUGAUCUGAUCUCAAAUCAGGUAGGACUACCCGCUGAACUUAAGC